CGCGUAGGCGGUCAGUGCAAGUCAGUUGUGAAAUCUCCGGGCUUAACUCGGAACGGUCAACUGAUACUGCGCGACUAGAGUGCGAAAGGGGCAACUGGAAUUCUCGGUGUAGCGGUGAAAUGCGUAGAUAUCGAGAGGAACACCUGCGGCGAAGGCGGGUUGCUGGGCCGACACUGACGCUGAUGCGCGAAAGCCAGGGGAGCGAACG
rnacentral:rRNA from 1 species